AUCCUCUGUUUUUAAAGACUAGCAAUAGGUAUGCUUAGGGAGGAGCUUGCGUCACAUUAGUUAGUUGGUGGGGUAAAGGCCUACCAAGACUAUGAUGUGUAGCCGGGCUGAGAGGUUGAACGGCCACAUUGGGACUGAGACACGGCCCAAACUCCUACGGGAGGCAGCAGUAGGGAAUUUUCGGCAAUGGAGGAAACUCUGACCGAGCAACGCCGCGUGAACGAUGAAGUAUUUCGGUACGUAAAGUUCUUUUAUUAGGGAAGAAUAAAUGAUGGAAAAAUCCUGACGGUACCUAAUGAAUAAGCCCCGGCUAACUAUGUGCCAGCAGCCGCGGUAAUACAUAGGGGGCAAGCGUUAUCCGGAAUUAUUGGGCGAAGGGUGCGUAGGCGGUUAAAUAAGUUUAUGGUCUAAGUGCAAUGCUCAACAUUGUGAUGCUAUAAAAACUGUUUAGCUAGAGUAAGAUAGAGGCAAGUGGAAUUCCAUGUGUAGUGGUAAAAUGCGUAAAUAUAUGGAGGAACACCAGUAGCGAAGGCGGCUUGCUGGGUCUUUACUGACGCUGAGGCACGAAAGCGUGGGGAGCAAACAGGAUUAGAUACCCUGGUAGUCCACGCCGUAAACGAUGAGUACUAAACGUUGGGUAAAACCAGUGGAAGUUAACACAUUAAGUACUCCGCCUGAGUAGUACGUACGCAAGUAUGAAACUUAAAGGAAUUGACGGGACUCCGCACAAGCGGUGGAUCAUGUUGUUUAAUUCGAAGGUACCCGAAAAACCUCACCAGGUCUUGACAUGCUUCUGCAAAGCUGUAGAAACACAGUGGAGGUUAUCAGUUGCACAGGUGGUGCAUGGUUGUCGUCAGCUCGUGUCGUGAGAUGUUGGGUUAAGUCCCGCAACGAGCGCAACCCUUAUUGUUAGUUACCAGCACGUAAUGGUGGGGACUUUAGCAAGACUGCCAGUGAUAAAUUGGAGGAAGGUGGGGACGACGUCAAAUCAUCAUGCCCCUUAUGACCUGGGCUACAAACGUGAUACAAUGGCUGUUACAAAGGGUAGCUGAAAAGUUUUUGGCGAAUCUCAAAAAAACAGUCUCAGUUCGGAUUGAAGUCUGCAACUCUGACUUCAUGAAGUUGGAA
rnacentral:rRNA from 1 species